CAGAAAUGGUCUGCGUUAUUGAGAGCUGUGUAUUCACUGGGGAUCGGCUCAAUAAUACUAGCUUGUAUAUAUGGUCACUCGUGGCAAGUGGGCGAAGUGGACAUUAAGAUGCCCUACGUCUA
rnacentral:sRNA from 1 species